GAGUAACACGUGGAUAACCUACCUAUAAGACUGGGAUAACUUCGGGAAACCGGAGCUAAUACCGGAUAACAUAUUGAACCGCAUGGUUCAAUAGUGAAAGGCGGCUUUGCUGUCACUUAUAGAUGGAUCCGCGCCGUAUUAGCUAGUUGGUAAGGUAACGGCUUACCAAGGCAACGAUACGUAGCCGACCUGAGAGGGUGAUCGGCCACACUGGAACUGAGACACGGUCCAGACUCCUACGGGAGGCAGCAGUAGGGAAUCUUCCGCAAUGGGCGAAAGCCUGACGGAGCAACGCCGCGUGAGUGAUGAAGGUCUUCGGAUCGUAAAACUCUGUUAUCAGGGAAGAACAAAUGUGUAAGUAACUGUGCACAUCUUGACGGUACCUGAUCAGAAAGCCACGGCUAACUACGUGCCAGCAGCCGCGGUAAUACGUAGGUGGCAAGCGUUAUCCGGAAUUAUUGGGCGUAAAGCGCGCGUAGGCGGUUU
rnacentral:rRNA from 2 species